GACGAACGCUGGCGGCGUGCUUAACACAUGCAAGUCGAACGGAAAGGCCCUGCUUUUGUGGGGUGCUCGAGUGGCGAACGGGUGAGUAACACGUGAGUAACCUGCCCUUGACUUUGGGAUAACUUCAGGAAACUGGGGCUAAUACCGGAUAGGAGCUCCUGCCGCAUGGUGGGGGUUGGAGAGUUUCGGCGGUUGGGGAUGGACUCGCGGCUUAUCAGCUUGUUGGUGGGGUAGUGGCUUACCAAGGCUUUGACGGGUAGCCGGCCUGAGAGGGUGACCGGCCACAUUGGGACUGAGAUACGGCCCAGACUCCUACGGGAGGCAGCAGUGGGGAAUAUUGCACAAUGGGCGGAAGCCUGAUGCAGCAACGCCGCGUGCGGGAUGACGGCCUUCGGGUUGUAAACCGCUUUCGCCUGUGACGAAGCGUGAGUGACGGUAAUGGGUAAAGAAGCACCGGCUAACUACGUGCCAGCAGCCGCGGUGAUACGUAGGGUGCGAGCGUUGUCCGGAUUUAUUGGGCGUAAAGGGCUCGUAGGUGGUUGAUCGCGUCGGAAGUGUAAUCUUGGGGCUUAACCCUGAGCGUGCUUUCGAUACGGGUUGACUUGAGGAAGGUAGGGGAGAAUGGAAUUCCUGGUGGAGCGGUGGAAUGCGCAGAUAUCGGGAGGAACACCAGUGGCGAAGGCGGUUCUCUGGGCCUUUCCUGACGCUGAGGAGCGAAAGCGUGGGGAGCGAACAGGCUUAGAUACCCUGGUAGUCCACGCUGUAAACGGUGGGUACUAGGUGUGGGGUCCAUUCCACGGGUUCCGUGCCGUAGCUAACGCUUUAAGUACCCCGCCUGGGGAGUACGGCCGCAAGGCUAAAACUCAAAGGAAUUGACGGGGCCCCGCACAAGCGGCGGAGCAUGCGGAUUAAUUCGAUGCAACGCGUAGAACCUUACCUGGGUUUGACAUGGAUCGGGAGUGCUCAGAGAUGGGUGUGCCUCUUUUGGGGUCGGUUCACAGGUGGUGCAUGGCUGUCGUCAGCUCGUGUCGUGAGAUGUUGGGUUAAGUCCCGCAACGAGCGCAACCCUUGUUCACUGUUGCCAGCACGUUAUGGUGGGGACUCAGUGGAGACCGCCGGGGUCAGCUCGGAGGAAGGUGGGGAUGACGUCAAGUCAUCAUGCCCCUUAUGUCCAGGGCUUCACGCAUGCUACAAUGGCUGGUACAGAGAGUGGCGAGCCUGUGAGGGUGAGCGAAUCUCGGAAAGCCGGUCUCAGUUCGGAUUGGGGUCUGCAACUCGACCUCAUGAAGUCGGAGUCGCUAGUAAUCGCAGAUCAGCAACGCUGCGGUGAAUACGUUCCCGGG
rnacentral:rRNA from 1 species